AUGGAUGUCCUAAGAUCAGAGAUUCUGCGAAGCGACAGCUGGUGGAGGACAGGAACCUGCUGGUAGAAAAUAAAAAGUACUUCAAGCAGAGUAAACUCGCCAAAACAGAGGAGGAAGCACAUUUUGGAAGAUGCCCCUACAAGACACAGCCAAAAGAGGAUGACCGGACACCACCAUCAAAUCCUGUGCUGGAACUCGAACUUGCAGAGGAAAAACUUCCUAUGACUUUUUCUAGGCAAGAGGUCAUCAGAAGACUGAGAGAGAGAGGAGAACCAAUUACACUGUUUGGGGAAAGCAAUUAUGAUGAUUUCCAAUACUUAAGAAAAAUAAAGAUUCUUACACCAGAAGUAAGGGCUUAAGGAAUGAUCUGAAAACAGCUUUGGACAAGAUUGACCAGCAGUACUUGAAUAAAAAGUGGUUGGUCAGGAAGCUGGAGAGGAGAACACACAGAAUGACCUGAAAGUUCUUGAGGAAAACACGACCACUGAAGAAAUAGAGGCACUGGGGGAGUCCUCAGGGAAAGGUGAGGAUCCUGAGGACAUGGACAUCAUCACCAAGUUCCUGAAGUUUCUGCUUAGUGUUACAUGGGCUAAAGAACUGAAUACCAGAGAGGACUAUGGGAAGCAAAGCAUGCAGGGCAAACUGAACAGUGCUACCCACAAGCAGACCGCUUUUCAGAAAGCUCCAGAAAAGAAAUCUUCCUGCUGAUACUAAAGGGUCAGUCACAGGUAUUAUUAAGUUCCUGUUGCAGCGAGAGUAUGUGAAGGCAAAUGAUGCUUACCUUUAGAUGGCCAUUAGAAAUGCUCCCUGGUCUAUUGGUGUCACUAAAGCUGGUAUCCAUGCCAGAACUGUCAGGGAAAAGAUCUUUUCCAAGCAUGUUGCACAUGUUUUAAAUGAUGAAACCCAGCGGAAAUACAUUCAGGGACUCAAGAGGUUAAUGACAAUUUGCCAGAAGCACUUUCUUACAGACCCAUUGAAAUGUAUGGAGUAUAAUGCAGUG